UUCUGGUGGUGGGGGCGGUGGAACAUUGACGAUGUUUUGCGCAGGUACCUGGGCCUGCAUCUCCUCCAAAGCCAGACGAAGUGAUAAGAUCUCGUCCAGCUGCUGGAAUCUUUCUGCUUCAAGCCUAUUAACAUUGGAUUCAGCUUCCUCCCUUGCUCUAUCUGCCAUGCUCCUGCUAGCCUCUAUGAAUCCUUGCAUCACCCUGAGUUUCUCUUCGUAGUCGUCUAUUCUCCUAGACUGUUCCCUCAUUAUUUUCUCCAUGUCGUGU
rnacentral:lncRNA from 1 species